UUGAAAAAUGUUUAAGUCCAUUAGAAAAAAAUUACUGGUGUUCAACACUUACAUAUAUUUAUUAAUAUUAAUGUUUUAAAUUCCUACAUCCCUCCACGCUCUCAGCAUCACCUUUUCCAAUAUAAUUCUCAUUUCCAACUGAGUGAUUUGAUCUUUGCUUUAAGAUAAUUCUUCAUCUGUUGCUUAUUUGGCUUAAUUUCUUCUUGACCAGGUUUCGCAGCUUCAGAUUCUGUGUUGGCAGUUUCUUGGCCAGUUUUCAUUUCCUGUUGACCAGAUAAAAUCUCUGCCAGUAUGGAAGCUAACUCCUCCAUCGCUGCCCUAGCAAGAAGCGAGCACGCUGAAUCAUAUCAAUAUAAAUCUACCCUUCAUAUAAAUCUGAUCCUCUUUGGAAGUAUCAUCCACCCUAACAUAAGCUUUGUCACUUUUUAUGAGUGAUUAUGAAUAUUAAUUAAUUAUUGUAGCCCACUUGCUUACAUGUUUGUAAAUAGAUGGCUAUUACGGUAAUUAAAAUAGAGAGACAAUAGUAGCAGAAUGGCUUCAGUCUCCUCCAAUCACUAAAAGUGACACAGAUUCAUACCUUUAAGAACACUGCUUUUACAGGACAGGUCACUGUUCAAUUCCAUAUGCACAUGGACCUACUUUCUGGCAGUUAAAGCUGAACGUUUAUGUGCAGAGUCAGCACAGGCUGAGCCCCAUUGCCCUGCAUACCAUUCAGCUAACACAAACACAGACCUAGAGACAAGAGCUUCCACUCCGUCAGUUCUAUAUGCCCAAAAGUUCAGUUUGGUGUUUUCAUCCUGAAUGAUGGAGAAGCCACGGGACAGCUGAAUCUUGUAUCCUCUUUUUUUUUUUUUUUUUUUUGCCACUGACUGCCAGCGGUUUGCAGCAUUGGAGACAAACCCCUUGAGUGUAAUUAUUUGCACAUAAUUUUCCUCCUGUAGACAAGGCUAUGAUGAGUUCAAGGCACUGUGUGCUGAUAUCCUAAUCUGUGUCUUAAAUGGAGCUUUCUGUUGGGAGAUGCCUAUUCCAUUGCCCAUGUAACUGCUCCUGUUCCAUCUCUCUUCACCUCCCUGUGCCGUGGCAUGCUCUCUGCUAUGAACACAGGACAAAACACAGAAACUGUGUCCUGUAGUCCAGUCUCCCAAGGCCCACCUCCUGCCGUCAAGCUGUGGUGGUACUUUUCCCACCGCUACUAGUCGAGCUAGUUAUUGAAAUGUUUUUGUUUGUUUUUUGCUGUUUCCCUCCCUCGCCUUCAGUCGAUGUUUGUAAAGCAUUUAACACUACACCAGGCGGGUUAAUUUACUGCGCUGGUAAAACAGGCUAUUUGGAGUGUCUUGCAACACUGACACGUUUUCUGCUUGAAAAUCAGAUGUCUCCAUCCCAAAGGAAAGAAUUCCUGCCAAAGCUUUGUUUAUAUCGAUGCCAGGUGCAAUCUGGCCCAACAGUGGUAAUGACAUAUGAACACUAAACAGUUUGUAAAAAGCGUGCUUCGAAAUGAAAUCUGAAUCCUGUAUAUAAAGACCCAGGUAAGACUCUUACUAUGAAUUUGCCUGGUAUAGGAAAGUAUUUCUUUGUAGAAACAUUAAUUUGGCUUCUGGGCUCCCUUUAGUGUUAUUAGUGGCUUCUGAUUUCAAUUUUUUCAUUACAGGUUGUUUUCCUUUGCUUCUGGUAGAGUUUUCAAAGCCACAGGUUUACUGCACAGAAAUAUUUUAACAAAAAAUGACUGUAAUUACCGUGUUUAAUAGUUUGUUUUGUACGAGGCUCUGGUGUGUGUGAUUAACAAAAGAAACCCUUCCUCUUUUUCCCUCUGCGGAGACCAACCCCGAUUUGGUGAAAAUUAGAAUCACAGCGCGUACUGCAGCACCUCUUGAAACAGAUUUGCCAGAACUGCGUUGCAUCCUCUCCUUUUUAGACAAGUUCAAAAUGGGCUUUCAUCCCCGAAGGAGAUUUUUUGGUUACUGCUGGCUACACAGAGGGAAAAAAAUUGUUAAACUUGUAUGAGUCGUGACCCUGAGAAUAAGCGACUCCCUGCCCAUCAUGUGAGAGCAGCAGAAGGCUGGGUAGGCUGUACCUUGCAUAUGCUUGCCUGAGCUCUGUGAUGCUCAACAUCCUCAUCAUGCUUUUAAAACUUACAGACCCAUAGAACAGUGGGAAGCAGCAGCGUGGAAGGCGGCAUUUCACACCGAGGGGUUUUAAAAAUGUGCCCAGAUCUCUUUUGCAAAUACAUGUAAAAUUGAUGCUCCCGCCAAAUCAGCAGCCAUUUACACGAAAGUCUGGCCCUUAAAAUCAAUGACGUUUGUGUAGCGAUCGGAUUCUCAAUCCAUUUAGAGAAGCGGCCCUACAGCAAAUGUCCAUGCUGCAGGUCAGUAUGUGAGCCACAGCAGCGCUCCUGGCAGCCCACAUCUAAGACGGACACAGAGCAAAUCGUUUGCCCAUAGAGCAUCAAAAAACCUCACAGGCCAUUUGAAAAAAUGCACAGAGAAAAGAAGGGAGAACAACAACGAUAAGGAACUGUUUGACAAAAAGCUAUUCAUGUGCGCAACCCAUUACCUCACCACAUACCUAAGCCGGAGCCACCGGGUUUCCCUUUUGUCUUAAGAAGAGAUCUGAGGGAAAUUUUCAGGAUGCCUUUCCAAUGUGUUUGAAGCAAAAUCGCGAGACAAAUAUGCCUUUAAACGAGAGAUAAACCACUUAAUACUGCAACUCCAACUUUAGAAAUCAUGAUUCUUGAAUCAGUGCCUCAGCAGAAAAGGAAAGACUCACAUUUGCAGAUGGCAAGUCACUCGCUGCAAGCUGAAAGGGUCUAUACUAUAAUGGUAAAAAAUAUGACUAUAUACACAGUCUUCCUCUGUCCAUCUGCCACUGUUACAGUCUCGUGUGGGGGUGAUUUUACUUAAGCUGGGACUGUUUGCAGGCUGAGUUCUCAUUUCUGCAAUCAGUAGGUUUGUUACGGAAAGAGUAAAUAGAUUUUAAAAAACAACAACUGCUGUCUUGGUGCUGCAUGACGAAAUCAUUGCAAUGGGCUCCCACUGAAGAAAUCAACAUACAUCUGCUGCUGGUCUGCAUGGAAUCUCAUCCUACAGUUGUGCAUGUACAUCUAUGAAUGGAGGAUUUGGGAACCUUCACAACGCUUGCAAGUAUGAAAAUGAAAGAGAGCGGUAACAACCAGAAAGACCAAUAAUAUAAUAGGAGAAAUAAAUUAAUAAUAGGGAAUGAGUAAUGAAAGUGGAUAUUUAUUAAUAUUUAAAGGCCAUAUGAAGAGUCAUCUUCUUUUACUCACUUAUUAUUCACCUUCAUCCAGUCAAACUGAAUACUAGCUUGCCAUGGUUUCCCCCACACUCCCUUUGCAAGAAAAGAUGUCAGUGGGCAGAGAUGUGUGUUUGUCAAGGCACAGAGGCACAGAAAAUCAUCAUGAACUAUGACUAUAAACUUCAGAUCACUCACUUUUCCCCUUACUUGAGACUUGCCAAGAAGGAGACAUACAGAUGGAGAGCUGGUUUUGCAGAGGGACUGUAUGCAUCUGGAAGGAGCUCUUGUGCCUCCUGCCAUCACCUUCCUCCUGCACGCCCCAAGUCCAGUGUUGUGACACUGAUCCCAGGAGCAGUGCUCCUUACCAGCAGAUCUCCAGAAAACAAGAUGUGUGCAAACUGGAAACUCCAGCUUAUCUGGGCAAUAAACAGUUUUGAUCUGUGCUUUCUGUGCCCCGAAGAAGCAAAAUAAAUAAAUGAAUAGGCAACUAAAAUCAAGGCUUAAUUCUGCUUUUCAUCACACUGUAACUGCAUUGGUGAAGGGGGAAGAGAGCCUGGCUCAUCAUCUACCAGCACCCUUCAAGGUAUUCUUCUGGUUGUAUGUCAUCUGCAAACACGAACAAGGCCUAGAAGUGGCCAUGGUGUAUAUACACGUAUGUGUGGAUGGCCCAUCACAUAUAUACAUAUCUAUAUCCAUCUUUUCUCCUUUAGAAUUUAAUAGCGACUUUGAUUUUGCCAUAGGAAAAUAGUUGUAUUUCUUUAACUGAAGAAAACGAACAGGUGUGUGAUACUCUGUUGUGUGGUUCUAAAGAUAGUCUCAGAGCCUAAAAUUCAUGGAAAAAAAUAAAUGGGUUUUAAGCUAUGCAGGAGUUAAAUGGCUUAGCAACUUGGUCACUUUUUCCCAUGUCAGGUGGGUACAGGCUGCAGUGAUUCUGACAAGGAGACCUUUUGCAUUCACUUCUACCAGUAUUAUUCCAAGAUGGGGGAGGGUGAAGAGCAAGGGCCGUAUUUACAGUCUGGAACACUGUAAAAUCACUCCCUUCAACUUUUCAGCUAAACUCAGAUAUUUAUCUUAACGAGAACUAAUUAGACCUAAUUUCCACGGUGUAUCAGUUAUUUUCUUCAUUAGAGUAGCUAAUGCCAUGUUCAGAUAUCAUAGUAAUCAAGUUUGUGAUUUCUGGAAAAACUGGUUAGAAGGCUUAGUAUUAAGUGUAUUUCCAACUGUGAAAUUUAUCCUUCUGAGCAAUGCCUCCCAGUUUACUCACUUUGUUCCAGGAUUCUCCACAGCAUAUGGCCACUGGAACCCAUUAAAUAACAAGAAGUAAGACAAAGUCAGCGAUGAGUCAAAAAUAGCUGCACUAGUGAACUGCCUUUCUAAUUUCUGUCUUUAACAAGAAAAAUAAUGAAGAAUAAGGCAUGCAAUUAGAAGAAAUUAAGGUCAAUUUUCAAGCCAGGUUCCUUACAUGGUGGUUUCCAAAUCCACAUUGGGCACCUCGAAUAAAAGCAGUCUGAUUGAACACCUGCAGCUCUUGGCAAUGCUCUCAGGCAUAUAAGGCAGCCAGGCAAUUCUUGUACACAAAGUCCCUGCUUCUCGUUUUUAUUUUCUCGAUUACCUAAACUCCUAAAACUCCAGGCCCUAAUCACUAGGUUGGCAUGUUCCUUUCUCCUCUUAAGGAAGACACCCAGUGCUUGGCCGUGUGCAUGCAAUAUAGGUGUUGGACAUGUCCCAUGUGCCUGGCAUGGGAGUGAAGGCACCAUUUUAGUAAAGGAGCCUGGUGCAACCAGCUUAUGUGGGCAAAACCUUCCCCUCUGCUUUUUAGUUCUGCAGACUUCCCUAGACAAAGAGAUGGGAUCACUCUCAUCCAGCCUGAGUCAUCCAAAGCCAGGAGUGUGCUCUGUGUUUUUCUUAGGCUAAUUUUACAGUCAACAGAGAUGGGCUGGUGUCUCUAAACAGAGAUUCAUCUUACCCCAUUACAACUGCCACAGACAUGGAGGUGGUUUGAUCAUUAGAGGUGCCCAGCUCCCUUGCAGGCAACUGGUUCAGAACAUGUUCCUUUCUCCUGGACAAGAGGCGACAUGAACCUCACCCCAGUGUUUCUGGGGCCACUGGCUGCUAUCCUGGAUGACACACAUGGCACUUUAUUAAAUGAAAAAGACUAACGUACUGCUACAUGAGUGGAAUCUAUCGCUGCCAUGGAUGUAUGACAAUUUCCACUCAAAGAGAAAUCUUAUCCAAGCACUAGUCAAUGAUGUUUACCUUCUCUCCCUUAAAACGUGCCCAGUGCUCUGAACGGGUGCUCUUCAAAUGAGGCAGAGCUUCUGAAUAAACUAAAUUCUUUAUAUAAUGCAUUUUGUCAUGGUUAUGAUUUGGUUACUCUUGUAUCCAACUCCCUUCAUUUGCAAGUUAGAAGAUGCUCCAUCUGAUCAUCAAAAAAGUGUGUUAAAAAUUGUAUCCAAGGAAAUAUAUUGUUAUUCUCUUCUGACCUGUGUUAUGAACAAUAAAAUGUUAUCUAGUUUCCACACA